GACAGUCAGUUACAGAACUGGGAACAGACCUGGCCUCCUGACUCUGGGUCUAAUGAUCUACCCCCUCCAUCAAGUGAGAUGAGGCAACUGACCUCGGAGGAGAGUUUGAAUUAUUUGCAAAGUAAGCAAUCUGAAGGAAGAAUUCUACCUUAUUCAUCUUUCCAUCUCAAGGGUCUGGCACACAGCAGACACUCGGCAUUAUUAUCUCAAGAGCUCUCAGAGCGUGGUCCCCAGAGCGGCAGCAGCAGCAUCACAUGGGAACUUGUUAGAAAUGCAAGCUUCCAUGCUCCACCCCAGACCUCCUGACUCAGACACACCAAGUACAGGGCCCAGCAACCUAUGUUCUAACAAGUGCUCCAGGAGGUGCUGGUGCACAAGAAAGUGGAUGGGAGCAAUCCGAUUCAUCUGUGAACCCUGGAGAUGGCAUCUGUUUGGCCCUGGAGUCCGCUGCCUAAACCUGGAGCUCAGUCUGAAGUCAGCAUGGUCUGUGCCUGCUCCAGUGUCCCUCCUACAGAAUCACACAGCUCUACAGUCCCCACCCUCCAUCGUGCCUCCCUGUGUAUCAUUACAUCACCAAACCCAUCCCUGAGAGCAGCGCCUCUAGAGAUUCACGUCCCCCACCAUGCACGCUACACGGCAGAUGGCAAUAUGAACCCCAACAGUGUAAUUUAACCAGGAAGGCAGCAGACUGCUCCAAAAACCAGCUAGAAGGGGGAAUUCAAGACCCAAGGAGGAUGUCAGGGCAGGGCCAAGGCAGGACAAGAAUGACAGGAAGUGAACAAUGGUCCAAGGAACUCACUGGGAGGUUCUUAUUCAGGGCUGGCCACCAGCACAUGGCAUAGGAAGUUCCAGUCUCAGAAAAAGGCAGCAGAGAGAGGGGUGAUUUUGGCUUUUCAUGGUUCUCCCAACCAAGAUCAAAAUCACACCGGAGCUGGGGUAGACCUUGGUUAUCAGCCAAGGUUAAGGCUGAAGUAAGAGAGAAGAGGGGCAAAGUACCAUGAUACCUUUUCCCCCCAUUCCCCAUGGGGUGGUCCCACCUCUCUGAAGAUAUUCCAAAGACCCUGAACAUCUUUCUUCCAAGGCUCUCUUCCCUACCACCUUGCUCUUAACUCAUUUUUUAUUCCACUUUCUACAUCUCUACCUUUAUGAGUUACCUAUUGCUGUUUAACAAAGCACCAAAAUCUAGUGGCUGCAAACAACAAUAAUUUUCUGUGCACAAUUCUGCAGUUUGGGCUGAGCUCCGAUGGGAAGUUUUGUGCUGGCCUCACUGGGGGGCACUCAUGCAGCUGUAGUCUGAUAAAAUUGAGGCUCCAGAAAGUUGAGACAGAACUUGAACUAAGGUCUCCUGGCUCGUAACCUUCUAUACAACAUGCUGUCUACCAAUUGACUCGUUUCGGGAUAAUAUACUCAAUAAUUCAGCUACUUUGGCAAAUGCUGUUCUGUUAUCUACGUUGGAAAAGGCAGCAUGCCACUUUCCCUCCAUCUAGCUAGAACCAAUUUCUAAUACGAGCAUGCUCCAACAGAAGUGUUUCUGUGUUAACUAUCAUUAUUUCCAAGGUUGAGUCGAAACAUUCCAACAACUGGAUUUAUGUACAACAUGUACGCAGUGAAGGUGGGAAAAUGACCCCUGAUCCUCCUUGGCAUCAACACGCUUCAUUUAAUUGGGGGUUGGGAUGGCCAUGGGGUGAGUAUUUGGACUGGGUCCCUGUCUCCAGAAACUGCACAGUGAAGGCAGGGGAGCUGCUCUCCUCCUUGCUAGAAUUACAGGAAGGAAGGAGAUUUCACAUCUCUUAUAGGCGUCCCAUCCCAAAGACUAUAUUUCCCUCUGUGUUUUCACAGCCAGGAAAUCCCUCAUCAAAUCCAAAUAAAUCUUUCUCUUCUCUAAGCCCUCAUCUUGUUCUGUUUUCUAGGAGGAGCAGGAACAGCUGGUUGUUCCUAAGAAGCAGCAACCCCUGAAAUCUGCCCACCCCAGCACGCUGUGGGAUUCCAAAUAUUUAGUGUCAGACAUCUGAGUGUUAAUUACCUUACCGUGGCUCCCACAGGCAUGCUGAUGGGUGCAAAGCCAAGCUGGCUGAGCUAAGCAUUGCAGGAAGAGAAAGCAGAAAGCAGGUUCUGGCAUCCCCAGAGGGUCCUAACGUCACCCAGCUUCUCACACUUCGCCUGUUUGUUACCAUUCCUCACUCUACCCCAAUGCUCUGCAUCCACCACCCUCACCCAGACACCCACUCUGCAAAGACACACUCACGCAAAGAAAAACUCUGGGAUUGAGCUUUCACCCACUUUCUCAGCUUCCCUCCCACCCUGUCUCACCCCACCCUGAUCCAUUUAUUUCCUCUCGGGCGUUGGAAUGUUCCCUCCUCCCUUAGUCCAAAACUAAAGCCUCUUCUCUACAGCCGCAUGUCUUAUCUAGUCCCUUGCCCACAGCUAGGGUUUUCUGGGAACAGCUUUGCACAAUAAGUGCUUUCUCACAUAGCCCAUGGUAUUUUCCCAUGC